AGAGUUUGAUCGUGGCUCAGAACGAACGCUGGCGGCGUGCUUAACACAUGCAAGUCGAACGCGAAAGGGACUUCGGUCCUGAGUAAAGUGGCGCACGGGUGAGUAACGCGUGGAUAAUCUGCCCGAUGAUCUGGGAUAACAUCUCGAAAGGGGUGCUAAUACCGGAUAAGACCACGGAGUCUCUGGAUUCCGCGGUAAAAGGUGGGGACCUUCGGGCCUACCGUCAUUGGAUGAGUCCGCGUACCAUUAGCUAGUUGGUAGGGUAAUGGCCUACCAAGGCGACGAUGGUUAGCUGGUCUGAGAGGAUGAUCAGCCACACUGGAACUGAGACACGGUCCAGACUCCUACGGGAGGCAGCAGUGGGGAAUUUUGCGCAAUGGGGGAAACCCUGACGCAGCAACGCCGCGUGAGUGAUGAAGGCCUUCGGGUCGUAAAGCUCUGUCAGAGGGGAAGAAAUGUAGUGGUGCUAAUAUCGCCAUUACUUGACGGUACCCUCAAAGGAAGCACCGGCUAACUCCGUGCCAGCAGCCGCGGUAAUACGGAGGGUGCGAGCGUUGUUCGGAAUUAUUGGGCGUAAAGCGCGUGUAGGCGGUUUGAUAAGUCUGAUGUGAAAGCCCCGGGCUCAACCUGGGAAGUGCAUUGGAAACUGUCAGACUUGAAUACGGGAGAGGGUAGUGGAAUUCCUAGUGUAGGAGUGAAAUCCGUAGAUAUUAGGAGGAACACCGGUGGCGAAGGCGGCUACCUGGACCGAUAUUGACGCUGAGACGCGAAAGCGUGGGGAGCAAACAGGAUUAGAUACCCUGGUAGUCCACGCCGUAAACGAUGAGUACUAGGUGUUGCGGGUAUUGACCCCUGCAGUGCCGCAGCUAACGCAUUAAGUACUCCGCCUGGGAAGUACGGCCGCAAGGCUAAACUCAAAGGAAUUGACGG
rnacentral:rRNA from 1 species